rnacentral:rRNA from 1 species
UAGGGAAUCUUCCACAAUGGACGCAAGUCUGAUGGAGCAACGCCGCGAGUGAAGAAGGUUUUCGGAUCGUAAAGCUCUGUUGUUGGUGAAGAAGGAUAGAGGCAGUAACUGGUCUUUAUUUGACGGUAAUCAACCAGAAAGUCACGGCUAACUACGUGCCAGCAGCCGCGGUAAUACGUAGGUGGCAAGCGUUGUCCGGAUUUAUUGGGCGUAAAGCGAGCGCAGGCGGAAUGAUAAGUCUGAUGUGAAAGCCCACGGCUCAACCGUGGAACUGCAUCGGAAACUGUCAUUCUUGAGUGCAGAAGAGGAGAGUGGAAUUCCAUGUAUAGCGGUGGAAUGCGUAGAUAUAUGGAAGAACACCAGUGGCGAAGGCGGCUCUCUGGUCUGCAACUGACGCUGAGGCUCGAAAGCAUGGGUAGCGAACAGG